rnacentral:rRNA from 1 species
UGGGGAAUAUUGGACAAUGGGCGCAAGCCUGAUCCAGCAAUGCCGCGUGUGUGAAGAAGGCCUUCGGGUUGUAAAGCACUUUUAUCAGGAGCGAAACGCUGUCGGCUAAUACCCGGCGGAACUGACGGUACCUGAGGAAUAAGCACCGGCUAACUUCGUGCCAGCAGCCGCGGUAAUACGAAGGGUGCAAGCGUUAAUCGGAAUUACUGGGCGUAAAGCGUGCGUAGGCGGUUUCUUAAGUCUGCUGUGAAAUCCCCGGGCUCAACCUGGGAAUGGCAGUGGAUACUGGGAGGCUAGAGUGUGUCAGAGGGUGGUGGAAUUCCCGGUGUAGCGGUGAAAUGCGUAGAGAUCGGGAGGAACAUCAGUGGCGAAGGCGGCCACCUGGGACAACACUGACGCUGAGGCACGAAAGCGUGGGGAGCAAACAGGAUUAGAUACCCUGGUAGUCCACGCCCUAAACGAUGCGAACUGGAUGUUGGUCUCAACUCGGAGAUCAGUGUCGAAGCUAACGCGUUAAGUUCGCCGCCUGGGGG